AGAGUUUGAUCCUGGCUCAGGACGAACGCUGGCGGCGUGCUUAACACAUGCAAGUCGAACGGAAAGGCCCUUCGGGGUACUCGAGUGGCGAACGGGUGAGUAACACGUGGGUGAUCUGCCCUGCACUUUGGGAUAAGCCUGGGAAACUGGGUCUAAUACCGAAUAUGACCAUGCGCCUCCUGGUGUGUGGUGGAAAGCUUUUGCGGUGUGGGAUGGGCCCGCGGCCUAUCAGCUUGUUGGUGGGGUAAUGGCCUACCAAGGCGACGACGGGUAGCCGGCCUGAGAGGGUGACCGGCCACACUGGGACUGAGAUACGGCCCAGACUCCUACGGGAGGCAGCAGUGGGGAAUAUUGCACAAUGGGCGCAAGCCUGAUGCAGCGACGCCGCGUGAGGGAUGACGGCCUUCGGGUUGUAAACCUCUUUCAGCACAGACGAAGCGCAAGUGACGGUAUGUGCAGAAGAAGGACCGGCCAACUACGUGCCAGCAGCCGCGGUAAUACGUAGGGUCCGAGCGUUGUCCGGGAUUACUGGGCGUAAAGAGCUCGUAGGUGGUUUGUCGCGUUGUUCGUGAAAACUCACAGCUUAACUGUGGGCGUGCGGGCGAUACGGGCAGACUUGAGUACUGCAGGGGAGACUGGAAUCCCUGGUGUAGCGGUGGAAUGCGCAGAUAUCAGGAGGAACACCGGUGGCGAAGGCGGGUCUCUGGGCAGUAACUGACGCUGAGGAGCGAAAGCGUGGGGAGCGAACAGGAUUAGAUACCCUGGUAGUCC
rnacentral:rRNA from 1 species